GCAAGUCCCCCAGUCCAGAAGGAAGAGUGUGCAGCAGGGCCUCACGCUUGAGAGCUUACCUCCCCUUUUGUGUUGAGAAGCAUUUGGGGGAAUGCAGAGAUGAAAAGAAGACGAGCCACAGGAUGACAGGGACCAGCUUGGGCUGGAUCCCAGUGCCGGCGAAGACUAGCACAUGGUAGGUAGUGGUAAA